rnacentral:rRNA from 1 species
UACGUAGGGUGCAAGCGUUGUCCGGAAUUAUUGGGCGUAAAGAGCUUGUAGGCGGUUUGUCGCGUCUGCUGUGAAAAUCCGGGGCUCAACCCCGGACUUGCAGCGGGUACGGGCAGACUAGAGUGCGGUAGGGGAGAUUGGAAUUCCUGGUGUAGCGGUGGAAUGCGCAGAUAUCAGGAGGAACACCAAUGGCGAAGGCAGAUCUCUGGGCCGUAACUGACGCUGAGGAGCGAAAGCAUGGGGAGCGAACAGG